UGAGGAAUAUUGGUCAAUGGCCGAGAGGCUGAACCAGCCAAGUCGCGUGAGGGAAGAAUGUCCUAUGGAUUGUAAACCUCUUUUGUCAGGGAGCAAAGUCACCCACGUGUGGGUGUUGGAGAGUACCUGAAGAAAAAGCAUCGGCUAACUCCGUGCCAGCAGCCGCGGUAAUACGGAGGAUGCGAGCGUUAUCCGGAUUUAUUGGGUUUAAAGGGUGCGUAGGCGGGUUAUCAAGUCAGCGGUAAAAUCGUGGAGCUCAACUCCAUCCAGCCGUUGAAACUGAUGAUCUUGAGUGGGCGAGAA
rnacentral:rRNA from 1 species